CUUGCCUAAAUUAUCAGAAGCGUCAAGGUUUGAUGUUUUGUGCAUUUGUGCAUUCAGAUAUUAACUCAAGCUGCUCAUUCUGCUUUGAAAUCAGCAUCAAGGCAUUUUCACCCAGAAAACACUGUCAACACUGGAGAUGGUCGUGAGCUUCUGAAAUACUCAGACGAGCCCGACUGGCACCAACAACCACGCCGCAUUCAAAGACAAAGCUUUGACGAGAGACAAACAACAUAAAAAGAAGUGAUUCGCAAGCAAAUGACAGACUCCAUAGGUCUCAUCAAAGGCACGCCAGGUUCACAGGGAGGAGAAAUUAAACGUGGGAUUUGGACACCAGAGGUAAGUUUGAGCAAAAUCACUUUGUUAAACACACAUAAAAAAAUAACAACAUUCAAUUUUGAUCUCUUUUAAAUGUCUUGAAUAAAAUAACAGUUGAUUUCUUAAUCUAAAAAAAAACAUUUUUACUCUUUGGCU